AGGAAACAAGGGACCUCUUCUGUUACAUAAAAAAUGUUCUUGUAUGAAGACAUCAUGAGGGUUAAUUGAGUCUGACCUGGAAGAAAAUGCCUACAUGUUUAUAUGAAAAGGUCCAGGCUUUACAGUUACCAGUUCUGAGAGUGGGGAGACUUGGUUACCUGCCAUCGUGACACCCGUUUGGAACCCUGGAACUCUGGGACCGAUCGCAGCCACCAUGCCAAGCUCCUCACCCAACCCUU